rnacentral:rRNA from 1 species
CGCACUUUUAUAAGAGGUCCAGCCUGCCCAGUGACCAUGUUCAACGGCCGCGGUAUCCUAACCGUGCGAAGGUAGCGUAAUCACUUGUUCUUUAAAUGUGGAAUAGUAUGAAUGGCACCACGAAGGUUAUACUGUCUCCUUUUUUCUAAUCAGUGAAACUAAUCUCCCCGUGAAGAAGCGGGGAUACAGCUAUAAGACGAGAAGACCCUAUGGAGCUUUAACCAACACAGCAAUUACCAACUAAACUACAAAGUUUCUGAACAUUUUAAUAUUUUAAGUAAUCUGACUGCAAGUUUUUGGUUGGGGUGACCACGGAGCAUAACAUAACCUCCAUGUUGAAAGAAUUCUUUCUAAGCUAAGAACAACCUUUCUAGGCAUCAAUAUAUUGACAUCCAUUGACCCAAUACAUUUGACCAACGAACCAAGUUACCCUAGGGAUAACAGCGCAAUCCACUUCAAGAGCUCCUAUCGACAAGUGGGUUUACGACCUCGAUGUUGGAUCAGGGUAUCCCAGUGGUGCAGCCGCUACU